UACGGAGGGGACUAGCGUUGUUCGGAAUUACUGGGCGUAAAGCGCACGUAGGCGGAUUUGUAAGUCAGGGGUGAAAUCCCGGGGCUCAACCUCGGAACUGCCUUUGAUACUGCAAAUCUCGAGUCCGGAAGAGGUGAGUGGAAUUCCUAGUGUAGAGGUGAAAUUCGUAGAUAUUAGGAAGAACACCAAUGGCGAAAGCACUCUGCUGGGCCGACACUGACACUGAGAGACGAAAGCUAGGGGAGCAAAUGGG
rnacentral:rRNA from 1 species